rnacentral:rRNA from 1 species
GAUGAACGCUGGCGGCGUGCCUAAUACAUGCAAGUCGAGCGAAUGGAUUGAGAGCUUGCUCUUAUGAAGUUAGCGGCGGACGGGUGAGUAACACGUGGGUAACCUGCCCAUAAGACUGGGAUAACUCCGGGAAACCGGGGCUAAUACCGGAUAACAUUUUGAACCGCAUGGUUCGAAAUUGAAAGGCGGCUUCGGCUGUCCCUUAUGGAUGGACCCGCGUCGCAUUAGCUAGUUGGUGAGGUAACGGCUCACCAAGGCAACGAUGCGUAGCCGACCUGAGAGGGUGAUCGGCCACACUGGGACUGAGACACGGCCCAGACUCCUACGGGAGGCAGCAGUAGGGAAUCUUCCGCAAUGGACGAAAGUCUGACGGAGCAACGCCGCGUGAGUGAUGAAGGCUUUCGGGUCGUAAAACUCUGUUGUUAGGGAAGAACAAGUGCUAGUUGAAUAAACUGGCACCUUGACGGUACCUAACCAGAAAGCCACGGCUAACUACGUGCCAGCCGCCGCGGUAA